UUUUCCGUAGGGUGCACCGUGCCGGAAGGAUCAAUA
rnacentral:rRNA from 1 species